UAUUUAUAUAUUAUUCUUUACCAUAUGUUUUCAGUAAGCCACCUUAGUUUAUCACUUGCUAAAAAUUCAAGUGCUGUCCUACUGGGAAUGAAAUGUUUUAGACUCUACGAGGUUUCCAGCCACCUUUACUUAACUAUUAAAAUCAUGUGAGAUGAGAUAAGCACCUUAAAUUAUAAAAGAUAAGUUUCAAGUAAGAAUGAAUAGUUCUCACUCCUAAUCCUACUCCUCAGCACAAUUAGAUUUUCUUACCCCUAUUUUAUCUACCAGAAAUGAAUCUCCCUGAAGCCGUGACUCACCCAGAGUCGCAGCAAUUUCACAUCUGAGAUUUGGACCCAGGUCUCUUCUAGAGCAGUGUUCUGUUACAGUACUGACCUUUCAGAACACAGCCUCGGCCCCAGCAGAGUUUUUCGAGACAGGGUCUCAUGUGCGUAGUGACUGUCACCUCCCCUGCCAUUCGCUCCCCGGGUUCUCCAGCCCGCGAGGUAGCUUGAGUGAACCCUGGCACAGUCCCCAGUGGGCGGGCGGCCCACCUCCGAGCAAGUGACGCACAGCCCUCCAUCCUCACAGCUCCCAGUGCUGAGGACGAAACCCUUGUCUUGAUCCACACCUUACGGGGCGGGAGCCACAGGACACAGACCCCGUCCGUGUCCAGCAUCGCCUGGCCACCUGGCCUUGGAGUCUGUGUGGCCGGGGGACCACUCUUGCUGCCCACGCGCUCCAGCUCUUCCCUCCAUGCGCUUCUUGGUUUGUAUCAGCCCCGCCUGGGGCACUUGCUCCCCACACCCUGCCGACUUCCGCUCCCCUUCCAGGCUCUGGGGCCUCAAGGUGAACUCCAAAGGCAGCUGCACAUGUCUGUGUCCCUCCGCCCUCCCUCCAGGCCGCCCACUGGCUCCCCUGGUUGUCGCCCUGUGGGCCCCUGGGAGAGGGUGUCGCUGUUGGGAUCCCCAUCACAUUGGGGCCUUGUCCCCAGUGUGCUCAGUGUGACACUCGGGAUAUUUUAUAAAAGAGGUUUCUGUCCCUGUGAGAUGCAAGCGAGUGCACAUAGAGCUGAAGACGUAAAAAUCGCGACUGGAGGAUGGCAGGAGUGGCCAACUUUCUAAGACAACAUGCAUGUAUUCUUGUAAAGAGGCAUUUUCAGAAUUGGCCCUGUAUCUGAUAAUGGUAUGAGGACACUGGCAUUGUCCCUGCAGCACAAAAAUGGCAGUUGUUUCUUUCGGUACUUUAUCAUGCAGUAUUGCGUUAUCAUUGUAGGAAGCUAACAGUGAGAAGAGUUUGAAAAAAAUACAGUGUAAAUUUCCACCACCCCCAGAUACACGCAGUGAACACUGGGGCAUGCGUGUUGCUGACUUUUACAUGUCCGUCUCUGUGUGCACUCUUCUAAAUGGAAUUGUACCUACCACUUUUAGGCCAGCGUUUCCCAUUUAGUGUGCACUGGCUAUCGUUCCUGUGUGUGGCUACUGCACAGUUUCUAUAGCCCAGGUACUGCUGAUUGACAGCUGGAUUAUGGCUGGAUUUUCUGCUGAUGCAUAUAUGUUAAGCAUCUUCGUAGUUAAUUCUGUGCACACCUGUCUAACACGUUUUCAGAAAUGGAUGUGGGAAUGUGCACUUUUCUUUAAGGCUCUUAUAGCUGUUGCUUGAUUGCCUCCUGUGCUCCAGGAGAAAGUGUGGGUUUUCUUUCUUUUUUUUUUUAAUAGCAAAACAUUUAUUGGUACAUUUUAGGCAUACGCAAUGAUAACACCCAUCGUAGGGAAUUGCAUCUGCACACUAUAUAUCCCGCCUCUUUUUUCCCUUUCUCCCCUCCCUCCAGCCCCUCCCCCAUUGUACAAAAGCUGUUUCCAUUUUUUCCUAUUUUCACUUUUUUCUUGUUCCUUCCUUUCUCCCUCCCCCUCCCUCGUUCCCCUUCCCCUUUGAACGUUUUCUUCCCAUUUCCCCAUAUCUAUUAUACAUUUUAGUCCUUAUUUCCAUUUUCAGUUUCUCACACCAGAGAAACAAUGUGGUAUUUAAACAUACCGUCUCAAGGUGCAUCCAUUUAGCUAUAAAUGUCUGAAGCUCAUGAAAGUUUGUCUCUUUCAUCUCCCAGUUUAAUAGCUUAAGAAUGGUGCCAUCAGACUUCUCCUUAUCGAUCCUUGCAAGUUCCCUGCAUUCUUGGUCAUUUGUUUUUCUUUUUGUUUUUGGUACGGGGGAUCGAACUCAGGACUUUGCGCUUGCGAGGCAGGUGGUGGCACCACUGAGCUACAUCUCCGGCCCUGUAUUUCUUUUU